CUGAAGUUGGUGGUGAAGGUGUUGCACUGAUGUGAUGAGGAGGGUGAGGAGGAAGCGGAGGAGGAGGCAACAGGAGACACCGAGAAAUAUCCAGCAAUCCUCGGUGGGGGUGGGACAUGCGUCAAACCACUUUCAGCCUCAGGCCCAGCC